CCAUUUCUGUUAUUACAGUGAUAGGAGCCAGCAGUUAAGAGACUUGGGCUUUAAGCUGGGAUUUUCUGUAAAUUCACUGUGUGAUGUGAUACAAGUCACUCAGCCUCUGGGACCUCAGUUUCCUCUUCUACAAUGAAGAGUUUGAAUGAGAUGAUCUUUGAAAGUCUUUUCCGUAUUUAACCUUCCAAGUUAUCUCCAAACUCAGAUGCAUGCUUUUCCAGCAAAUACCCUAAGCCUCAUCUAUGAGUAAUGCAUCCUCACUGUUCCUGGGGUGACUGGAAGGACCUGGCCUGUUUUCCCAUACACCUCACGGGCCAAGCAGUCACGUUAUAAGGGAGGGAGGCCCAGUAAAACAUGGAUACAAGAAGAUAGCCGUCUGCAAACCAGGAUGCAGGCUGUCAUCAGACACCAGAUCUGCCAGCACCUUAGUUUUAGACUUCUCAGCCUUCAGAAUAACUGUCUAUAAGGGAACACUUGAAUUCAUCGGAGAAGAGAUGAUAAGUGCCAGAAGUAAUUGAGGAGAGGGUUCGAGGCAGCUUGCUCAGCUGAGAGCUGACUGAGAGCUGAGAGGUUUCUGGCCUUGGGGAAACAGUGAGAGAGAAAUCCCCAGAGCUCCAAAAUGGGUUUUUACGAUCUUGGCUAUGGGAGGAACCCCUGACCCACUGGGGCCUCAUGCCUGACAUACGGAGCUGCCUAAAGAUUGCACAGGAAUCUUGCUCCAGAAAGGGAACCCACACAGAAUCCCACGGGCAUCUGAGCCUGGAGCAGUCUCAGCUGGGAGCCACUUUGAGAGCCCAGAUACCAGGGAUCUACAGACACAGCUGCAGCUGCUCCAAGGAGGAAGAGGCAAGACUGGGCGCUCCCAUGCACCCUCGGGAAGGUGCUUGCCACUCUGCUAUAAGCUGCUGUGGAGACUGAGACACGAGUGAACUGCCCUCCCCCAUGCUGCCAGCCUGGGCAGGGAUUGACAGGGAAUCCAGGCCAUUCUACGCCUAUCUAGGACAAUACCCACUGCCCUGUAAUGAGCUGCUGUGAGACUGAGACGUGAUCACACUGCACUCCCCACAGCUUCUUGCCCAUACUGCUUGCCUGGGUGGUGCACGCCCUCUCUGGCUCCUGGUCCAAGGCGACAUUUUGAGAGUUUAACAUGGGGCUGCACCUCACCCUCGGCCUGAGCUUGGGCAACCAUAGCUGCAGCCACUGCCUGCCAAAGAGGCCCCACCCUCUCCUAUCACAAGCCCACAGCUAGUACCAUUUUGAGAGUUUAGAGACAUUGUUUGGCAACCUGGCAGCAGUGGCCACAGCAGGCAUCGUAGUCUCAGGUCAGAGAUUGGAGCACUUGCUCUGGAAUGGGAGAUGGGACUCCAUAGCCAGCACUGAGCAGCAAGUAUCAAGAGUGCCCCAGCAGUAGGUGCUGGAGUUAGGCUCUCUCCUGUCGCAGGACUGCAGUGGGAGGAGAGUUGCUGAAGCCAAGGUUUCUCCCAGGUGGUGAGACUUGCAGCCAGGGACAGCUUUGUGACCUGGAACUGGUCUGUGCAUGUCAUUGCUGGGUGCCCCGGUUUGCUCCCUUGGUCACUUGGGAGACGGUGCGCCACAAGCAUUGAGGAGCAGGAGGGUGACGAACCCCACUCCCCAAGAGAUCUAACCCUCAGCACGGACUGACUCUAUGGGAGGGGAAAGUACAGCCUCCCCAAAGCCCCCCUUGGGCCAAAGGAAAUGUGAGUGUGGUGCCAGCCACUGAAGGUGGCACCACUGAAGCCUGGGAAUGGACGUGGAGAAGGGGUUCUCUCUGUCAUCCCUGGCCCCUCUCAGUGCAUUGUCACUGAGGCCUGGGGAGUGUGGGCUGAAAGAGUUCAUUUAUUGGGUUUCUCCAAUGGCUUCACCCCCACUGAAGGCGAAUAUGCAUUGGGGGAGGACGCUUUUCACUCUUCUCCAUUGCUUUCACCCCUACCCCUACCUGUUGGCUGUUACUCUUAUAUGUCACCUACUGGCCUGCAGUCUGAACUACACCACCAAACAAAAUUAGAUUGCUACAACAAGCAACAUCUGAGAUAACCACUGUUAAACCUAUCUGCAACCAAGGAACUUGUACAGAGCCUUGGUAUCAUGAAAGCACUCAGAAAUGAAGCCAAUCAGGCAUACACAAUAUACACUACAGUUAUACCCCCUCAGAGGAAAAAAUAAUAAAAAAACAAGAAGCCCUAUCUAAACAAUAGGAAUUUUUUUUUUUUAAAAAAAGAGGUGUCAGCUCUCUCAUAUGAGAAGAAACCAGCAUGAGAACUCCAGAAAUACAAAAAGCCAGUGUUGUAUCACCUCCAAAGGAUCCUGCUAGCUCUUAAGCAAUGGGUCCUAAGAAUGAAAUGUUUGAAAUGACAAAUAUAGAACUUAGAAUAUAGAUGGCAAAGAAACUCAACAAGAUCCAAGAAAAAGUUGAAAUCCAACACAAAGAGGCCAGAAAAACAAUCCAAGAUUUGAAAGAUGACACAGCUAUGUUAAGAAAGAACCAAACAGAACUUCUGGAAUUGAAAAAUUCACUACAGGGAUUUCAAAAUAUAGUCAGAAGUCUUAACAAUAGACUAGACCAAGUAGAAGAAAGAAUUUCAGACUUCAAAGACUGGUCCUUUGAAUCAACCCAGUCAAGACAAAAAUAAAGAAAAAAGAAUAAAAAAAAAACCAAAGACUUCGAGACAUAUGGAAUAAUGUAAAGUGACCAGAUCUAUGACUUAUUGGCAUUCCUGAGAGAAGAAGAGAAAGUAAGCAACUUGGCAAACAUCUUUGAAGAUAUAAUUCAGGAAAGUUUCCCCAAUCUUGCUAGAGGUUGACAUGCUGAUACAAGAAAUCCAGAGGACUCCUUUGAGACACUAUAUAAGAUGACUAUUUGUAAGGCACAUAGUCAUCAGACUAUCCAAGGACAAUGUAAAAGAAAAAAUCUUAAAGGCAGCUAGAGAAACAGGUCAUAUUACCUAUAAAGAGAAACCCAUUAGACUAACAGGAGACUUCUCAGCAGAAACCUUACAAACAGAAGAAAUUGAGAGCCCAUUUUUGGCAUUCUUAAAGAAAUCCCAACCAAUUUCAUAUCCUGCCAAACUCAGGUCAUAAACAAAGGAAAAAUAAAGUUUUUUUCCCAAACAAGAAGUUGCUAAGGGAAUUCAUCACUACCAGACUGGACCUAUGAGAGAUGCUCAAGGGAGAUCUAAACAUAGACAUGAAAGAAUGAUACUUACUACCAUAAAAGCACAUGCAAGCACAUAGCCCAUGGAUGCUACGGAGCAACUACACAAUGAAGACUAUAAAGCAACUAGCUAAGAACACUAUGACAGGAACAAAACCUCACAUAAUAUUAACCUUUAAUGUAAACAGCCAGAAUGUUCCACAGAAGACAUAGUCACAAAUUGGAUUAAAAAAGACUCAAACUUCUGCUGCCUUCAAGAGACUUCUUUCACAUGCAAUGACAACCAUAGGCUCAAAGUAAAGGGAUGAGCCUUUAAUGAAAAUGGAAGACAAAAAAAGAGCAGUGGUUGCUAUUUACAUAUUAGAUAAAAUAUACUUUAAUCCAACAGCAGUACAAAAGGACAAGGAAAGGUAUUACAUAAUGAUAAAGGGUUCAAUUCAACAAGAAGACUUAACUAGCCUAAAUAUAUACAUACCCAACAUUGGAGCAUCCAGAUUGAUAAAACAAUUACUUCUAGACCUAAGAAAAGACUUGGAUAGCCACACACUAAUAGUGGGGGGCUUCAACACCCCACUGACAUCAAUAGACAGAUCAUCAAGGUAGACAAUUAACAGAGGAAUUUUUGGCUUAAAUUUGACAUUUGACCAAUUGGACCUAAUAGACAUCUGCAGGAUACUUCACCCAACAACCACAGAAUAUACAUUCUCAUCUCCACAUAGAACAUACUCUAAGACUGACCACAUGCUUGGUCAUAAAGUAAGUCUAGAUAAAUUAAAAAAACAUUGACGUCAUAACCAGCAUAUUUUUGAACUACAGUAAAAUAAAAAUAGAAAUCAAUACCAGGAGUAACUCUCAAAACCACACAAACACAUGGAAACUAAAUAAUUUGCUCCCGAAUAAUUUUUGGGCAAACAACUAAAUCAAGGAUGAAAUAGAAAAAUUAUUAGAAACAAAUGAAAACAGAGACACAACAUACCGAAAUCUCUGGGAUACAGCAAAAGCAGUGUUAAGUGGAAAGUUUAUAGAGCAAAAUGCCUACAUCAAGAAGACAGAAAGAUUCCAAAUUAACAAGCUAACCUUGCACCCUUGAAGGAACUAGACAAACAAAAAUGAGCUAAACUGAAAGGUAGCAGAAGAAAAGAAAUAACUAAAAUUAGAGCAGAACUAACUGAAAUUGAGACCCCCCAAAAACAUACAAAGGUCCAGGGAAAUAAAACGUUGGUUCUUUGAAGGGAUAAACAAGAGUGAUAGACUGCUAGCUAGAUUAACAAAGAAAAACAGAGAGAAGAUCCAGAUAAGCACAAUCAGAAAUGACAAAGAUCACAUUAUAACAGAUCCCACAGAAGUACAAAAGAUAAUCAGAGACAAUUGCGAACAUCUCUAGGCACACAAAUUAGAAAAUCUAGAGGGAAUAGAUAAAUUCCUGGAAAUAUGCAACUUCCCCAGAUUGAACGAGGAAGAAACAGAAAUCCUGAACAGACCAAUACUGAGUUCUGAAAUAGAAUCGUAAUAAAAAAACCUACCAGCCAAAAAAAAAGCCUGGAACCAGAUGGAUUCACAGCCGAACUCUAUCAGCUGUACAAAGUAGAGCUGAUCUCAAUCCUACUGAAACUAUUCCAAAACAUCAAGGAGAGACUUCUCCCUAAUUCAUUCCACAAAGCCAGCAUCAUCAUCAGAUUUUUGUAUCACAAAAUGAUUUUGAUACAAUUUUGAUACAAAAUCAUUUUGUGAUACAAAAAUGUCACAAGGAUACCCCCCCAAAAAAAACCAAAAAACAAAAAACUAUAGGCUAAUAUCCCUGAUGGACAUAGAUGCAAAAAUCCUUGACAAAAUACUAACAAACCAAAUCCAGCAGCACAUCAAAAUGUGAAUUCACAGUGAUCAAGUGGGCUUUAUUUCUAUGAUGUAAGGAUGGUUUAAUACAUGCAAAUUAGUAAAUGUGAUUUACUACACAAACAGAAUUAAAAACAAAAAACAUAUAAUUAAUAGAUUCAGAAAAAGCAUUUGAUAAAAUCCAUCAUCCCUUCAUGAUUACAAAUUCUCAACAAACUAGGCAUUGAAGGAACAUACAUCAAAAUAGGAGCCAUCUAUAACAACCCACAGCCAACAUCGUAUUGAACAGGCAAAAGUCAGAAGCAUUCCCUCUAAGACCUGGAAUCAGACGAGGAUCUCUACUCUCACCACUCUUAUUCAACAUAAUACUGAAUGUCCUAGCUAGAUCAAUCAGGCAAGAGAAAGAAAUAGAAAACAUCCAAAUAGGAAACAAAGAAGUCA
rnacentral:lncRNA from 1 species